GAUGAACGCUGGCGGCGUGCCUAAUACAUGCAAGUCGAGCGAACAGAUAAGGAGCUUGCUCCUUUGACGUUAGCGGCGGACGGGUGAGUAACACGUGGGUAACCUACCUAUAAGACUGGAAUAACUCCGGGAAACCGGGGCUAAUGCCGGAUAACAUUUAGAACCGCAUGGUUCUAAAGUGAAAGAUGGUUUUGCUAUCACUUAUAGAUGGACCCGCGCCGUAUUAGCUAGUUGGUAAGGUAACGGCUUACCAAGGCAACGAUACGUAGCCGACCUGAGAGAGUGAUCGGCCACACUGGAACUGAGACACGGUCCAGACUCCUACGGGAGGCAGCAGUAGGGAAUCUUCCGCAAUGGGCGAAAGCCUGACGGAGCAACGCCGCGUGAGUGAUGAAGGUCUUCGGAUCGUAAAACUCUGUUAUUAGGGAAGAACAAAUGUGUAAGUAACUAUGCACGUCUUGACGGUACCUAAUCAGAAAGCCACGGCUAACUACGUG
rnacentral:rRNA from 1 species